rnacentral:lncRNA from 10 species
GAUUCUUCCUGGCUAAAGAAACCCAUAAAAGUGGAAAACUCAAACUCCACAGUGCAAAUAUCUCUUGAGUCUGCCUGCACUACCCUUUCUUGAAUGUGUAUUGAUAAGACUGCAGUUGACAUUUUAAGAAAUUUAAAUUUCAACCUGAAGUCAAUAAGGACACCUCAGAAGUUUUCAAAGGAAGGAUGGAGUCUGUUGAAAAGAACCGGUUGGUAAAAUGAGAAAAAAUGGAUUGAAGGAGAUAUGGCCUUUAAGACUGUGAAAUAACAGAAAACCCCAAUGAAUCUAGUUUACUUCAGAGAGCUGUAAAGAUUUUACAGAGCAAUUUUCAUUAGUCUUUGCUUUUUCUCCAGACCCAAGUGACCACCUGGUAAUUACUUCAACAGCAGAGCGACUCAUACAGCCGGCAGUCCACUUUGUUCUUCUAUAGAUCCUGCCUGUGGUGUUGGAUCUAACAGCUUCUUCCCUGACCCAAGAUUAUGAAGGAUUUCUCCUGUGUUCUCUUCUAAAAAUUUUACAUUUAGGUACAUAAUCCAUUUUGAGCUAAUUCUUUUAAAUAGUGCAAAGUAUGGAUUGAAGUUCUUUUUUUUUUUUUUUUUUGCAGAUACAUAUUUAAUUUUUCCAGCACCAUUUGUUGAAAAGACUAAUGUUCUUGCCUGAAUAGCCUUUGCAUUGUUGUUGAAAAUCAUGUUCACACAUGUACACAUUCCACUGAUCUAUUUGCCUCUUUGUGAAAAUACUACUAUUUUGAUUAAUAUAUAUUUAUAGGGAGUCUUAAAAUCAUAUCUUAAAAAGAUAGUGGAAGUUAUUUAACCUUACUCUUGCUUUUAGAAAUUGUUUUGGAUAUUCUAGAUCUUUUGUGUUUCCAUAUAAAUUUUAUAAUCAGUUUGGCAAUUUAUUUAAAAUAUUCUUCUGGGAUUUUGAUGGACAUUACACUGAAUCGAUGGAUCGCUUUGGGGACAACUGACAUCUUAACAAUAUUGAGUCAUCUAACAUAUGAUCAUGGAAAUUGCUCCAUUUAUUUAGAUCUUCUUUCACAUCUUGAAGCAGUGUUUUGCGUUUUCAGUGUAUAGGUAUUUAAUAGAUUUAAAAAUAUGAUCCCUAAAUAUUCAAUGUUUUUGAUGCUAUUGGAAUUUUAAAAAAUUAAUUUCUGUUCUGAGGAAGGAAAAUAAUAAAAGAUUAAACAAGAAAAAUAAAAAUAAUCAAAAUAAAAGAUAAAUCAUUGACAAAUAUAAUAAAAAAUAAAAUAAUAACAAAAAAUAUAAAAAAUUAAUUUCUUAUUUUUU